rnacentral:lncRNA from 1 species
UCAUAAUAAGAGAAAUUAUGAUGUCUGAAUUGACUGACAGCUUUAUGACUCUAUAAAAAAGAAGAAGGAAUCUACAUUAGAUAAAAGAUUGGUCAAAAUAAAAUGAUAAAAACAGGAAAUAAUUCUUACACUUAUAUAGUUCCACACAGCAUCUUUAGUAACAACCAUCUGCCUAUGCUCGUCCCAACCAAAGCCACUAUUGUCUUUUCCAC